ACUCUCUCCUCCAAGGGUUUCCCCUUCACAAAGAGCUAAAGCUCAAUCUACAAAAAUAUUACACACUCCCCUCCCCCUCUCCUUCUUUCUUAUUUAUAUCUAACUAGCAAAUCAAAUAACAAACUCAUGACUAUUCUAAUUCUAACUAACUCCUCCUCCUCUAUGUGUAACCUAACAAUACACUCUUCCAGAAAACAACCUUGUCCUCAAGGUUGGAACAAUGGAACCUUUUCUCUGUGGCUCAUCUUCAACACCAUGAUCUUUAUCUACGCU
rnacentral:lncRNA from 1 species